UACGUAGGAGACGAGCGUUGUCCGGAGUUACUGGGCGUAAAGGGCGCGUAGGCGGCUCGCGAGGUCGGGGGUGAAAUCCCACGGCUUAACCGUGGAAGGGCCUCCGAUACCGGCGGGCUGGAGGAAGGUAGGGGUGCGCGGAACUUCUGGUGGAGCGGUGAAAUGCGUUGAUAUCAGAAGGAACGCCGGCGGCGAAAGCGGCGCACUGGACCUUUUCUGACGCUGAGGCGCGAAAGCCAGGGGAGCAAACGGG
rnacentral:rRNA from 1 species